rnacentral:rRNA from 1 species
GCGAGCGGCGGACGGGUGAGUAAUGUCUGGGGAUCUAUCUUGUGGAGGGGGACAACCACUGGAAACGGUGGCUAAUACCGCAUAAACUCUGAGGAGCAAAGGGUGGGACCGAUGAGGCCACUCACCACGAGGUGAACCCCAGAUGGGAUUAGCUAGUAGGUAGGGUAAAGGCCUACCUAGGCGAUGAUCUCUAGCUGGUCUGAGAGGAUGACCAGCCACACUGGAACUGAGACACGGUCCAG